UCAGCACCUAAAUUCCUUAUUUAUGCCUCCAGUGACUUAGUGACUUAGGUGAUAUUGCAAAGGAAAAAUGAGGCCUCCUGGUAACAAACAUCUUACCAUUAUAUGCAUCACCUUUUUAUGACCUGUCAUGAGUUUAUUUUCUUCAGUAACUCCACUGUCUGCAAUACAUGCUUCAGGUUCCCCAGAAUCUCUUGACUUCUAGCAGACACAACCCGAGUGGCAGAUAUUCAUAGAGGUGGUAUGAAACAACAGGAAGAAGAGGAAGGAGGAAGAGGAAGGAGGAAGGAGAAAGGAGGAAAAGAAGAAACAACACUUUUAAAAUGCAGGGAAGGUCAACUUGACUAUCAAGAGACAAAAUCUGAUAUGCACUCUUUGCUAAUAUACAAUGGACAGAUGCCAAAUGAGGACUGAUAUAUCCAUGCCAAUUGUCCACGUGGAUCAGCAGUCUAUAGAAUAAAUGAUACUAACAUAAAAUUAUUCUGAAUGAC
rnacentral:lncRNA from 1 species